AACGAACGCUGGCGGCAUGCCUAACACAUGCAAGUCGAACGAGACCUUCGGGUCUAGUGGCGCACGGGUGCGGAACGCGUGGGAAGUUGCCCUUGGGUUAGGAGUAACAGUUGGAAAGGACUGCUAAUACCGGAUGGUGACAUAAGGCCAAAGAGUUAUCGCCCAAGGAUGAGCCUGCGUAGGAUUAGUUAGUUGGUGAGGUAAAGGCUCGCCAACGCGACGAUCCUUGGCUGGUCGGGGAGGAUGAUAAUCCAGGCUGGGACUGCGACACGGCCCAGACUCCUACGGAGGGCAGCAGUAGGGAAUAUUAGACACUGGGCGAAAGCCUAAUACAGCCGUGCCGCGUGAGUGAUGAAGGCCUUAGGAUUGUAAAGCUCUUUUACACGGGAUGAGAAUGACAGUACCGGGUGAAUAAGCUCCGGCUAACUCCGUG
rnacentral:rRNA from 1 species